rnacentral:lncRNA from 1 species
GUGAGGGCCACAGAGUUAGGUAGGGAGCUGUAUCCAGGGCAACUCCAUACAAACUUAACGCAGGAGCAGCCCUUGUAGAGUGGUGCUGACAUUGGGAUUAGGAUCUGUUCUAUGAGACCGUGACCAGCUGAUAAAUUGAAGUGGUAAUUUGGGAUUUAACCAAACAGAGCAGUAAAUGUAUCAGAAUGAUGAAAAUCCAAGACGAGAAAAGACUGGAGGAACCAUACAAGUUGAAGUAAGAAAAAGAAAAGAAUAAUUGUUUCAACAUUCAAAUUUCUUCAUGGCUUGUACAAUGCAAAAUUUUUCCAAGUUUAGGAAGUAUAUGAGAACUAGAGAUUAGAAAAUGGAUGUGAAGUCCCCAAACAUCUCUGCAUCAACUAACUCCAAAACCCAGCACAGGAAGAAGGUGAGAAGACCCUGAGUCUGGAGAGAUUGGACUACAAAGCAAAAUGAACUGUUAUACAGACUUAGGUGGAAAGUAUACUCUCCUACCAAAAAAACCAGUUGUUUUCCUAUUUCUUUCUGCACUUAAUCCUAUCUUCAAUGUGCCCUUUUAAUUGACUUUAACACAAAUAUUAUGAAUAUGAAUUACAAGACAAUAUUAAAGGUAAAAGAAAACUUAAAAUGACAA